GAUUGCUCUUGCUGCACUGGUAGAGCUUCUAGAGGACCUGUGGCUACAGACGGUCUCCUGCUGCAGCCCUGAGCUGGAGAAGCCCCCUGUUUUUGGGCUGAGGGUGCGGGUGUUUCACGUUCAGGGUCAGGAGGCUCCUCUCAAUUUGUGCAUGGUGCAGACGUCCCUGUGGUCUUCUUUGAUAGAUUUGGGGAGCCUGAGUUGCUUCUGUGGCUGAAGAAGUUCUCAAGUCCCGGUAGGAGGAAGCCAGGGAGCCUUUCGGUGCUUCGUGGAUUGGAUAUGCCAUUAAAUACCUUACAGGGACUGCGCUUGGCUGAAGUCCAGGUGGUUUCUGGGACAGCUGGGCUCAGGGCAGGGUCCUGUCGGGCUCCCUGGGUGUCAGCGGCACCUGCCCCUGCAGGUGCUGCUCUUUGAGCCUCCCCACCCCCACUUCUGCUCCCACCGGGAGGAUCUGCUGGCCUGGUGGGGCCCAGGAAUGCAGAAGACUUUCCUCCUCCUCCCCCACCUUUCUUCUCUCUUGGUUAUCUCUAAGUCUAAAGGGUUGUGGAAAUGUGUUGGGCAAAAACAGAUGGGAAGCCUCCAGGGAGAGGCAGCCUGUCUUCAGCAGGGAGAUUCAUGGCUUUCGAUGUACAGCCAGGAGGGUGAAUAAAAGCUGGCACGUAGAACACAUUCAAGUGCGUUUUCCACUGACUUUAAAAAGCAAAAACUUGUUAAGGAAGUUUCCUUUUAUUUCUGGUUAUCAGUAAUUAUUUUUCAGGUAAGGUUGCUAAAUUAUAUCAUUGCCUUUUCAGCAAUAAUGAUGAAAACCAAAGGAUUUCCUCUUUUUGACCUACUUCCCUUUCUGAUGUGAUGAAUUAGUGUUUUAAAUGUAUAACAUGUAUAAAUAUGGCUAUAUUUUCUAAUAUUGAACCAAUCUUGCAAUCUUAAGAUAAACACAGACAGGUCUCAUGUAUUAUUAUUUUACUAUGUGGCUAGAUGUGAUUUGCUAAAAAUUUGAUUAGAAAUUUCUUUUUAAGUUUUUAAGAUCAACUUUAUUGAAGUAUAAUUCAUGUAUAAUAAACCCUUUGGAGUGUCCAAUUCAAUGACCCACCACAACCAAGAUACAGAACGACCGAGCCCUCCCUCCAGACUCUGCGGAUUCUCUGCAGCUAGGGCCCCUUGGCCCCACACCUGGAGCCGCUGAUAUGCUGUCACUGUGUGUUUGUUUGAAUUUUUUGCAUUACACGUACUGCAUUCUGAUUAUCCACCUUCUGUUGAUGAACAUUUAGGUGGUUUCCAGUUUUUGGCUUUCCACUUCUCCUGGAUCAACACCUACAAGGGGAAUGGCUGCAUCAUAUGAUAGGUGGAAACUUUCAAACUGUCUUCCAAAAUCGUGCGAUGUGCUGGCUUUUCUGGUUGCUCCACAUCCUCACUAAUACCAGCUACAGUCAGUCUUUUUCAUUUCACCCUUUCUAGUGGAUUUGUACUGGAGUCUCUUUGUGGUUUUAAUUUGCAUUUUCCUGAUAUGCUUAUUCAACACCCAUAUAUCUUUUAUGUCUGUCUAAAUCAUUUGCCCACUCUUUUGUUGGGUCAUUCGCCAUCUUCUCAUUGAUGCAUAAGAGUUAUUUAUCUUAGACACAAGUUUAGAUAUAUGUAUUGCAAAUAUUUUCUCUAUUCUAUGAUUUGCUUUAUUGUUCCCUUAAUGGUGUCUUUCCCAAAGCAAAAAUUUUAAAUUUACCAAGUUUUUCUUUAAUGGUUUAUGGUCUUUUGUGUCAUAGCUAAGAAAUAUUUGCUGGCUUUGAGACUUUCUUCUAGAAGUUCUACAGUUUUUGGUUUUACAUUUAGGGCUAUGAUUCAUUUUGAGUUAAUUUUGGUGUAUAAUAUCAAUCAAUGUUCAUUUUUUCAGCCAGGCGCAGUGGCUCACACCUGUAAUCCCAGCACUUUGGGCAGAUUGCUUUAGGUCAGGAAUUCGAGAACAGCCUGGCCAACGUGGUGAAACCCCAUCUCUACUAAAAAUACAAAAAUUAGCUGGGUGUGGUGGCAGGUGCCUGUAAUCCCAGCUACUUGGGAGGCUGAGGUAGGAGAAUCGCUUGAACCUGGGAGGUGGAGGUUGCAGUGAGCUGAGAACACACCACUGCACUCCAGCCUGGCAACAGAGUGAGACUCCGUCUCAAAAAAAACAAAAAACAAAAAACAAAGGAUUUUUAUAUCAAUAAAGGACAUUGGUCUAUGGUUUUCUUUUUUGUUAUUGUCUUUACCUGGUUUUGGUAUUAAUAUUAAUUUUGUAAAAUGAGUUGGAAAGUGUUCUUUCCUCUUCUAUUUUCCAAAGGAGAUUGGGUGGAAUUAUAAAUUCUUUAAACAUUUGGUAGAAUUCUCCAAUAAAACCAUCUGGGCCUGGAGAUUUCACUUUUGGCAAUUUUUAAAUUACAAAUUCAAUUUUCUAAAUAGUUGUAAAACUAUUCAAAUGAUCUAUUUCAUAUUGGAUGUGUUGUCGGGUUUUUUUUUUUAAUGAAUUGGUCAAUUUCAUCUAAGUAGUCAUAUUUACAUAGAAUUGUUUGCAGUAUUCCUUUAAUAUCCUUUGAUGUCUGCAGGGUCUUUAGUAUGGCCCCUGUUCAUUUCUAAUAUUGAUAAUUUAUGCCUUCUCUCUUUUUGGUCAGUCUUGCUACAGAUUUGUCUAUUUUAUUGAUCUUUUUAAAGAAAAAGUUACUUGUUUCCUUGAUUUUUCUCUUUUGUUGUUCUUUUUUCAACUUUGUGGAUUUCUGUUCUUAUCCUUAUUAUUUCUUUCCUUCUGCUAUUUUGGGUAAAAUAUUAUUUUGCUUUUCUUUUUCUAGGCUCUGGAGGCGGGAGCUUAGAUUACUGAUUUGAAACUUUUCUCUUUGCUAAUAUAGGUAUUUAGUAUUAUAAAUUUCCCUGUCAGUACUGCAUUAGGUAUAUCACUUAAAUUUUGAUUUAUAUUUUUAUUGUCAUUCAGUUUAGUGCAUUGAUUUUCUUUGACUUUCUCUGUCACCCAUGGAUUCUUUAGAAUAGUACUGCUUAGUUUUCAAGCAUCUGGACAUCUUGUUAUCUUUCUGUUAUUGAUUUCUAACUUGAUUCUAUCGUGGUCAGAGAACACAUUCUCUGUUUAAAAUUCUUUUUAAGUCUGUUGAGAUUCGUUUUAUGGCCCAGGAUAUGGUCUAUCUUAGUAUACAUUCCAUUGGCAUUUGGAAACAGCAUAUAUUCUGGUGUUGUUGAGUGGGUGUUCUGUAAAUGUUGAUUAGAUUCUAUUUGUUGAUGGUGUUAUUGGGUUCUAUGUUCUUGCUGAUUUUCUGUCUAGUUAUUUUAUCAAUUAUAGAGAAAAGCAUGUUGAAGUCUCCAACUAUAAUUGUAGACUUGUCUAUUUCUCCUUUAUGUUCUAUUAAUUUUUGCCUCACAUACUUUGUAUAUCACUAUUAGGAGCAUACAUAUCUAGAGUUCAUUCCUAUGUCUUUUCGGUGGAUUGACCCUUUUAUCAUUAUACAAUGUCCCUCUCUAUCUCUGGCAAUUUUCUUUGUUCUGUCGUCUAUUUUAUCUGAUGUACUAUAAUCACUUCUGCUUCUUUUUUGCUUAAUGUUUACGUGAUAAACUUUAUUCCAUUCUUUAACUUUCAACUCUUCUAUAUUGUUAUGUCUGAAGUGAGUUUCUUGUAACUAACACAUAGUUAGGUCACAGUUUUUAAUCCAUUCUACAAAUGUUUGUCUUUAAUUAAUGCAGUUAGACCAUUUACAUUUAAUGUAAUUAUUGAUAUUUUAGGACCUAAGUCUGACAUUUUUUUUUGUUUUCUGUUUGUUCUGUUUUUCAGUGCUCUUUUUUCCUUUUCUGUCUUCCCAUGAGUUACUUGAACAAUUUUUAUAACUCCAUUUUGAUUUUUCUAUAGUGUUUUUAAGUAUAUCUCUUUAUAUUAGUUUUUAAUGAUUGGUCUAGAUAUUACAUUUAUAUAAAUAGCUUAUCACUGUAUACUUGUAUCAUCAUUUUACCACUUUGAGUAAAGUAUAGAAACUUCACCUCCCUUUGUCUUUUUUAUCUCUUAUCUAUGAUAUAAUUGUCAUAAGUAUCUCCUCCAGAUAUAUUAAUAUUUAGAGCUACAGUGGUUUAAUUUUUGCUUCAUCAAAUAUAAUUUAGAAAAUUUGAGAGGAGAAAAAAGGCAUAUUAUAUAUAUCCAUACUUUUGCUACCUUGUUCUUCCUUCCUGAUAUUCCAAGUUUUCCUCUUUGAUCAUUUUCUUUCUGUGUAGGGAAGCCCCUUUAGCCAUUCUUUUUGGAUGGAUAUGCCAGUGACAAAUGUUCUUAGUUUUCUUUCAGUUAAGAAUGUCUCAAUUUUCCCUUUCAAUCCUGAAGAUUAUUUUUGCUGAAUACAGACUUUUGUGUUGGCAGUUUUGUGUGCUACUUCCUUCUAGCCUCCACGGUUUCUGAUGAGAAAUCUGUUGCCAUUUGAAUUGCUUUUCCCUAUGGGUAAAAUGUCAUUUCUCUCUGUGUCUUUACUUUCCAGAAGUUUGACUAUGAUGUGUCUUGGUAUGAAUUUUUUUGAAUGUAUCCUGUUUGGAGUUUUUUCAGCCUCUCAUAUUUGUAGGUUUAUGUCUUUUGCCAAAUUUCUUAAGUUUUCAGUCAUUUUAUUUUUGGUUUUUCCAGCUCCAUCCUCUUUCUCCUCUCCUUCUGAGAUUUUGAUGACACGAAUUCAGAUCUUUUGUUAUAGCCCCAGAAGUCCCUGAGGUUCUGUUCAUGUUUUUUCCAGUCUAUUUUCUCUCUGUUGUUCAGAUUGGGUAAUUUUUAUUGUACUUCUGUUUCGCUGAUUCUUUCCACUGUUUCUUCAAUUUUGCUGUGGAGCCAACCCAUUGAGGUUAUUUAUAAGUAAGGACUUACUACUGCCGUUGUGUUGCUUGUUUUCUGGUUGUCUCAUAACUCCUCUCCUCCUCUCUUUCUUUGUUACUGUCAUCCUUUGUGGUUAAGUGGUUUUCUCUGGUAGUAUGUUUUAAUUCAUUGCUUUUUAUUUUUAGUGUAUCUAUUAUAGGAUUUUGCAUUAUGAUUACUGAGGCUUACAAAAACACUUUAUAGACAUUUUGAAGAGAUGACAACUAUCGUAGAUCUGUUUGCUUUUUAAAUCAUUUUUCUCUUUAAUUUAUAUGGUGUUUAUCAAUCUCUUUAAGCUUACUACUAUUUUCCUCUAUUAAACCUGAACUUUUUAUUUCAAAUAUUGUAUUUUUUAGUUUUAAAAUUCCAUUUGGUUCUGUUUAAUAUUUUAUAUUUUCCUGCUUAGAUUUUUUUAUAUUUUCAUUCAUCAUAAGCAUACCUUUACUUCACUAAGCACAGUUACAAUAGCUGUUUUAAAGUACUUGUCUGGUAACUCCAACAGUCUUUUCAUCUCAAUAUUGGAAACUAAAAGUUGUCAUUUCUUUUGAAGAUUGGUAAUAUUUUUCUUGGUCUUCAUAUGUCAAAUAAUUUUGGAUUUUAUCCCAAAUAUAAAUUUUAUGUGUAGUGGCUCUGGAUUCUAUUUCUCCAGAAAGUGUUGACAAUUUUUGCUUUAGCAGGCAAUCACCUUCCUCAAGAGAGGAAGUUUCUAAACCAAGGCGAGUGGUCUGCAGAGCAAAAUCAAGGCAGGCAGACCUCCUCCAUCCAAGAGGGCUCUUGGCUUCACUUAGGAGAGAUUCACACACACACACCGACAGUGGAGGAAGCGUUGAUCAGGAGUGAUUCACACAUGAGCCAACAGUGGAGGAGGCAUUGAUCAGGAGUGAUUCACACAUGAGCCAACAGUGGAGGAGGCAUUGAUCAGGAGUGAUUCACACGUGAGCCAACAGUGGAGGAGGCAUUGAUCAGGAGUGAUUCACACGUGAGCCGACAGUGGAGGAGGCAUUGAUCGGGAGAUGAUUCACACGUGAGCCGACAGUGGAGGAGGCAUUGAUCGGGAGAUGAUUCACACGUGAGCCGACAGUGGAGGAGGCAUUGAUCGGGAGAUGAUUCACACGUGAGCCGACAGUGGAGGAGGCAUUGAUCGGGAGAUGAAUCACACGUGAGCCGACGGUGGAGGAGGCAUUGAUCGGGAGAUGAAUCACACGUGAGCCGACGGUGGAGGAGGCAUUGAUCGGGAGAUGAUUCACACGUGAGCCAACGGUGGAGGAGGCAUUGAUCAGGAGAGAUUCACACGUGAGCCGACGGUGGAGGAGGCAUUGAUCAGGAGAGAUUCACGCGUGAGCCAACAGUGGAGGAUGCAUUGAUCAGGAGAUGAUUCACACAUGAGCCAACAGUGGAGGAGGCAUUGAUCAGGAGAGAUUCACACAUGAGCCAACGGUGGAGGAGACAUUGAUCAGGAGUGAUUCACAUGUGAGCCAACAGUGGAGGAAGCAUUGAUCAGGAGAUGAUUCACACAUGAACCAACAGUGAAGGAGGCAUUGAUCAGGAGAUGAUUCACACAUGAGCCGACAGUGGAGGAGGCAUUGAUCAGGAGAGAUUCACACAUGAGCCGACGGUGGAGGAGGCAUUGAUCAGGAGUGAUUCACACGUGAGCCAACAGUGGAGGAGGCGUUGAUCAGGAGAGAUUCACGCCUGAGCUGACGGUGGAGGAAGCGUUCAUCAGGAGAGAUUCGCACGUGAGCUGACAGUGGAGGAGGCGUUGAUCAGGAGAGAUUCACACAGAAUCAGACAGUGGAAGAAGCAUUGAUUAGGGCGACAGGGCACAGCCAAAGGCUGCUGCACGGACAGAGCAGGGCUGUCCACUGGCAAAGGGGCCCCCUCAGAUUGCUGGCUGGCUGUUUAUACCUCCACCUAAUUACACGUAAAUGAGGGGUGGGUUAUUCACGAACCUUCUGGAAAGCGGUGUGGAGGUCAUGCGGUCCUGGUAACACAGGCUGCUUCCUUUUCAGUGACCAGCGUCAUUUGGCGCAGCCCCCAGAGUCUCAUGACAACGACCUUGUUCUGCUCAAGAGCCCUGUACGGUCCCCUCUUCUGUGGAUGGAAACUGAGGCACAGCAAUGACAGCAUCAACGGAGCCACCCUGCUCCUGGCUGUGCUCUGCAGGAGCCUCCACUCGGGGGCAGAGGACAAACAGCCCCACACUUGGAAGCACAGCUCGGGAGCAGCAGCUGAGUUGCGCUGUGAGGAGAUGCCAGGCGGCUGUUUAUCCAUCGGCUGCUUGCAAGUGAUGGGGCCGGGUUUACCCUCCUUUCCUGCCCAUGAUUUGGGCUCUUGGCAAAUCAAAGGUUUAAAGAUACCAGCUCUUGGAACCACAAAGUAAACACAGCAUAUCUUCCUAAUUCCUUUCACCACGCGGUGCACAGUUUUAUGUGCUAAUUGUGUUUACUGGAAGAACUCAUGGCUGGUUCAAACAAAUUCUUAUCGUGGAAAAAACGUCUCCCCUGCCGUCAGCUGCUGGUACUGGUGGGAUAGGAGUGCAGCACGGAGCACAGAGGCUGGAGCUGGGUCAAACCGGGAGGCAAGAGUGCAGGUGCACUGCUCCUGAGCUCAGCAGGCCCCACGGCAUCUGCUGUGUGUAGAGGGGCUGACCGUAGAUCGCUGCUUAUUGUGGUUCCGUUUAAGAGUCCUCCCUGGCAGGAUCCCUGCUCCUUAAAAGCACAGUGCAGAGCAUCUUAGCUCCGAUGCACCAAGCAUGCCCCAGCUGUGCCUCAGCGAGGAGGGUGAGCUCUGGGCCAAGACCCCCUCUCCUGGUCCGGGACCCCUGAGCGCUUUUGACUCGGGAUGACUGACAAAGUCCCUGGCCGGGUUUGUUCUUCCCAGGCUGUCCCAGUGGCUUCUGAAUUUUUGGCCCAUGUCUUGGGUGUAGAAACUACAAGAGAAUUUUAGUAGAGCAGUGUGUUGUUGGCAAGCAAGUUAGAUCAUCCCACUGAGCUUCUGUGACUUUCCUCUUUGCAGUUAUGGUUCCAAACCAGAGUUUCCCUAGGAAAUAAACACGGAGGGGCUGAAAGGACCUGGGGCCAUCGGGGGUGGAUGGCCAUAUCCUGGGGCCUUGAUGCCAGUGCCGACUGUUCCCUGCACGCUUCCACGUCCACGCCAACAUUGCAAGGCUAUGUCACGGACUGGAACAGCUACAGUGAUGACACACCUGAGGUGAACACAACUCCAGCAGCAUCCUGGCCUCUCAUGGGGCAAGUGCAUGUGGAAUCUAGAAACUUCACAGCUGAGCCUGCAAAGGUGCUCAUGGCAUGCAGAAGUGUUUCUGGGUAGGUAAAGCCCAGGCUAAUCGCAGGUUCAGUGACCCGACAGUGCAUUUAGGACAGUGAUACUAGAUGGGACGACCAAGCUCUGUGAGUUACACAAUGGGGUGAGUUAGACAGUGGGGUGAGUUACACAAUGAUGGGGUGAGUUACACGAUGGAGUGACUUACAUAAUGGGGUGAGUUACAAAAUGGGGUGAGUUACACAAUGAUGGAGUGAGUUACACAAUGAUGGAGUGAGUUACACAAUGGAGUGAGUUACACAAUUGGGUGAGUUACACAGUGAGGUGAGUUACACAAUGAUGGGGUGAGUUAUACAAUGAUGGGGUAAGUUAUACAAUGAUGGGGUGAAUUACACAAUGGGGUGAGUUACAUAAUGGGGUGAGUUACACAGUGAGGUGAGUUACACAAUGAUACGGUGAGUUUCACAAUGAUGGGGUGAGUUACACAAUGAUGGGUGAGUACACAGUGGGGUGACUUGCACAGUGGGGUGAGUUACACAAUGGGGUGAGCUACACAGUGGGGUGAGCUGCACAAUGAUGGGGUGAGUUACACAAUGAUGGGGUGAGUUACACAGUGGAGUGAGUUACACAGUGGGGUGAUUUGCACCAUGGGGUGAGUUACACAAUGAUGGGGUGACACAGUGGGGUGAUUUGCACAGUGGGGUGAGUUACACAAUGGGGUGAGUUGCACAGUCAGGUGUUACACGGUGGGGUGAGUUGCACACUGGAGGCUUCAGGCUCGCUCCCCCUUGCUCUCCCCCAAUAGAUCCAGUGGUAGGAAGUCAUUUCAAGCAGCUUGUGAACAUUCACAGAAGCAGCUCAGGAUCAUCCUGCUGCUUCUGAGAGGUAAGCUGGACAGGUUACUGCCUCUGACAUGGGGGAGGAGAGAAAACUCCUGAAUUUUGGUGCCCCCAGAUAUAUCGUGGAUCAAGAGGUCAGUAUUAUUCCAUGCUUCUUCCCACUGUGAAACAAAAUGAGACGUCUAGCGGGAGCCUCGCGUUGCCAGUGAAAUCAACCCAGAUGUGCAGGCAUGAAAAAAAAAUAGCCGGAAAAUCUGCCCAGGAGACCAGGGACAGCCAGGAGACACAACGCCAGGGCCGGGGCGCUCCCAGCAGGGCUGGCCUGACGUUGCCACCAGUGUGGAGGGUCCCCAGUGGGGCAUGCGGGACACGCCCCGGAGGCCCGUCGGGAGGUCAGGCAGUCCCACGGGGGAAGCAGCUCAGCCCAGUGAAGUGGCCGUCCACACUCUCAGAGGAGCCUACCACGUAAGGCACUGGGAGUUGAGUGACCCUGAGGGCCACAAGGCUGGGAGAAGAUUCAGAGCUUGCACUCUUUGUCCAUAGCCAUAGCUGGCUGUGUGGGAUUCAAAUGGAAAACAGAGGGUUCCAGAAACCAUGGUGACCACAGACAGCCCUUGCCUCUGCAGGGUACAUCAGGGCUCAGAAUGUGCUGUCCCCCUUAUCAAUCAUCACUGAGACCUCAGCAGAAUGAGAGGGCCCCGCAGAGACAGCAGGCAGGGGCCAGGCCUUGGAAAUGCUGCACACGGACCGGACCCCAGUCGUCCUGCCACGGCCAUGCCCAUCUCGGCUGAGGCCACCGAGGUCUGGAGAAGGUCCUCACUUGCUCAAGGACACACGGCGGGUAGACUGGCUAGAUUCAUGCUCAGAGUGUUUCCUGCCUCUCCCCGGGGCCCCUUGAUGUCAGGUUUGGGUGACGCUUUCGCCAAUGUCCUGGCCGAGCAGAUGCCUCAGGGGCUAUCAUGUGGUUCCACCAUGUCCCCAUCCUCCAGCCCACAGAGCCUCCCAUGAGAGGCAUCCUUCAGCCUGGGUCCCAGAACUGAGAGGCCAUGGAGCAGAGCUCCAGCUGACCAUCAUGUGCCUGUAGCGCGAGUGAGAAGCACACGCUGUCGCUGGAAGCCCAAGACACAGGAGGCCAUUUGUUUCUGCAGUGCAGCCCGGCUCAAGCUGACUGAUCCCAAGUGAGGCUCAAGCCUGCCUGCCCAGCCCCGGAGCCACCACUUCUGCCCCACAACCCUGCCUCUCGGGGUGACAGGAAAGGCAGUUCUUACGCAUCGUAGAGAGGAGGCGGGUGCAGUCGCUGCAGUAAACAGGAGCUGAUAAGAGCCAGUGGGACUGAAGAGCUGCCUGCUGGGGAGCGGCUCUGUGGAAUUCCACCCCGGGCACGGUGGGCACACGUGUCACUCUUGGCAGGUGUGGACACUAAUGAGACUUUGGGUACAGCUACCUGCUGGGGCCUAGACAUUCCGUGGGGCAGCGGGGGCACCCGGGGCAGUGCCUCACCCCGACACCAGGCCAGCAGAGACUGGUGGACCCCUCUCUUCCCCAGAGUGGGCCCAUCAGGAUGCCCAAAGCUCCCAGCUGGUGGUCACUGAUUUUGCACUUUGACCCGUCCUCAAAACAUGAGGUCUCUGUGAAAGCAUAGACACCUUGAGAGUCCCAGCAUAUGGGUGUGUGGCUGAUCUCCCUUCCCUCCUGGCAGGAAACCCAGAGCCCUGAGCAGUUGUCACCCAAGAUGGUGGCCCCAGAGCCACCUGGCCAGGCUCCCCACUUUUUCCUGAGCUGGACUCUCAUGGCUGGUAACAGCCCAGGGUACCCCUCCAGCUCUGCCCUCCCAACUCUGGCUGCCCCCAGGUGUUCCCCGUGUCCAGCCCUGUGAUGGGGAGUGCAGAGCGAGGCUUGGAGGGUGGGCGGGGAGCAGGUUCUGAUCUCAACUCUUCCGUGCUCUGGGUGAGCAAGGCGGCUGCCUAAGGUCCCAAGGACAAGAGCCCGCAGCGACGGUCAGGAUCAUUGAGGAGAACGCCUGGAAAGUGCUUGUUGAGUUCUCUGUCCAUAGUAGGUGCUCGGUAAAUGUCAAAGAUUUCCCAAAUAUUUGUAUUGCUGCCAAGCUGAAGCAUUUAGAAAUGCAUCAGUUUCAUCUCCUCUUUGUGGUUGGACUUGGGCCCAGAAGCUGGUCCCCAAAGUGGCUUCACUUGUAGGACCAAGUAUGAGCCCAGCCCAGCCCACAGCUGCCGCGCAGCCCUGCGACCCAUUGGGUUAUAAGGUGGAGGUCUCGGAGCUUCUGCUAGGAGCCCCCACCAGCCUCUGAGUCAACCAGAGGCCCCGGCGGCUGACCCCCUACAGCCCCCGGGGCCACAGCCCGAAGUGUGGGUUGAAGGGCUCCUGGCAGAAGCCUGGCCUGCAAGCACCGGCAUCCAAGCUUCCACAGCAAAGUGAUCCCAUGCCAGGAGCAGACGUGACGGCUCCCUCAAACCAGGAAAACCUGUUUAAAAUUCCACAUGUCACCGUGGGCCUUCCUUUUCCACCCUCCAUCGUCCAGCAGGUGUCGGGCCCCAGGCUGGAGGCCACGUGCCAGGCUGGCAGGAUUUGUCCACUGUGAAGCUCGACGCCCCCGCAGGCCCUGUGCUGCCCGCCCGGAUCCCCCUGCCUCAGGAUGCCCUCCACACCCUCCGAAUUCCCAGCCGCUGCUCUGGGGCCUGCACAGAGGGCUUGGGCCCAGCACCUGGAAACUCCAAAGAGGCAAACGGGUUCAUGUCCAGGUUUUGUCAGAUCGCUUCCGAGGCUGCCCUCUUCGCCGUGGCUGCUGAGUGCAGAGCUGGGCAUCUGAGUGGACAGAGUGGUGCUCCGCUUCCUUGCAUCUCCUGGGCCAUGCGUGGUGACCUGUGCCCACUGCAUCGCUCCUGUGUGCCCUGUGCAUGUGACCGUGUCUUUCCCGUGUAUUCAGUGCUGCUUCAUGUGUGAGUUUCUCUGUGUUCCAAACCCCAACUACAGUGAUUUUACAGAUGAACCUUAAUAGAUGUGAAAUCUAUAAGUAGCUAUUAAUCUUUGUGUCAUAUUUACUGCAAAUAUUUCCCCCACUCCACUAGCUUCCAGUUCCGCUUUGUGGUUUGUGAGUGACCAGUGCAUCCCGUUCCUGCUGCAGCAGCUGCAAUGUGCACUGUCCUGCAGGAAGCCCUCGGGGUAGGGCCUGGGGGCUGUGGGAAGCUCAGCAACAAGGUAAGGGAAUGGGCAGCUUUGUUUUAUUUAUUUAUUUAUUUUUACUAUUUAAUUAUCUCACCUUAUUACACUUUAAUUAAAAUAUCGAUCUUUACACAAUACACUUGAACUGUGGAAUAAAGCAGGACCAGAUGUGGACCCUGGAGCUGACAGUUACUUGCCUCCCACCCAGCCACGUCCUAAUUCUCUUUUUGCAAAAGCAACUACUUGUCCCUGUUAAAGCUGUUCCUUCUGGUCAUGACUGUUUUAUCACAAAAUCAUAUGCCUCUAUUUUUGUUGCUUGACUUACCCAUUUUAGACAUUAUCUGUUUAUUUCCUGCUGGACAGGUAUUUUAGCUCCAUCUCCCCUACUUCCACAUCCACACUAUAAUUAUAUCUCUAUUUUUAGUUAAAUCCAUAGUUAGUAUUUACAUUUUCAUGACUAAGUAAAUAUUGCUUAUGACUGAGCCAAACAAAGCAUGAUGGUUAUUUUUCAUUCCAUCAACAGCUUCCCCCUGCCCUUCGCCCACCCUGAUAGUUUUGACUUUUUUUCUCACAACACAUUCUCAUGUGUGUUCAUAGUCUCCCGACUAUCUUCUAUCUGCCUUCACCCCCAGUGCUCCAUUAUGCCAGGAGGUCUCCUCAGGAUGAGCCCCAUGUGCAGCCUACAUUGUGCUACUCUCUCAGAUCCAGUGUGCAGCUCUCCUCCUGGGACUUCCCUCCACAACUUUUCUCAGUUGAAUCCACUAUGUGUUGGAUCCCAGGUCUUCCUCUUUAUUUUCUCCUUCAUUUUGCUGGAGCACAUCCUCAAGUAACUUUCUAAAAUAAGUUUAAACAGGUAAAUGUUUUGGAAGGUUGAAUGCCACAAAACAUCUUUAUUCUACCUUCAUACUUGACUCAUAAUAUUGCUGGAACCAAUUUCUAAGUUCAAAAUCAUUUUUCAGGAGCUAGGAAUUGAACUCAACCUAUCUAAUUCCAAAAUUAGGGUUAUUUUAUUUGACACGAUCUCUGGCUAGGAAGCAAGCACAACAGCUCCACCGUUAUUGGCAAGUUACUGAAAGCAACCCUUUGACAGCAGCCGCAGAUCCACAGCCAUACAGAAUUUUCCUUUUUAAACAAGUUGCUCACCAUUAGGAUGCUCUGAUUUCUCCAUUUGUAAAAUGAAGAUUCUCUGUCAACUUUUGGUUUUAGUUUUUGGUCUGGCAUAUUUGGUAAGCUACAAGUGAUCUUUGGCUGAAAAUCAGUCAUGUGUGGCGGGUCGUUUCACCAGGUGCCCUGCACCCAGAGAUCUAGGGCCCUCAAUCGUCCUUCAGUUGCUGUCAGUGCAAGGGCAAUCUCACCCAACCCUCCACAGGGAAAGGCAACUGCCACACGCCUCUGAGAGCAGGGAUGCAGCAAGCGCUGACUCUGGGCUUACAGGGGUCCCGCCCAUAACAGCGCACCACAGACCAGGGCUCACCCCACAAACAUUUUUCUCGCUCAGUCCUGGAGGCAGAAAGGCCAACAUCAGGGUGCCAGCAUGGCUGGCGUCUGGUGAGGCUCUCUUCCUGGUUUGCAGACUGUUGCCAUGGUAUUGUGAUAAUAACAAAAUAUAGAUUUGGUCUUCGUCCCAGAUUCCCAACACCAGAGCUUCUAAGAGACCUGGAACCUCUUGAGUGAUGAGCGUGUCUUUUGUGUGCUGACGAGAGGACAGAGCUGGUGACCCUUGGGCAGCUUCAGGAAGGGACUGCUCCCCAGAAAGACCAAGGCAGGACUUAUAGAGUCCUGGAUAACCCUCUCUGCCCUGUCUCCUUCCCACCUACCGCCCUGAAGGCUGCUUCCGCCUCUGCCCAGACUGCAGAUGCUCCCAGGCUGUGUCCUCUGCCCGCCUCUUCUCUCCAGCCCUCUCUCAUGGCAGUCCCACCUGACAACUCCCAUGGCCUCCUGGGUGUCCUGCAAAGGCUUUGUCACUGGUGUCACUCCUCCAGGCCUCAGAUAAUUCCAGAUACACAAGCGCUCUCCCAACAAGCCAUAUUCUCACCUCUGCAAAGCAUUUCCAAGCAUCUCCGUUUCCUCUGCAUAAGCGACACGGCCCAGCCACCCGAGCCCUCGUUGCCAUCCACCACUGGGCAUCAGCUUCCACUCCCGUCUUUCUCGUGUCCUCUGGUCCAGCCCCUGGUGAGCUCCAGCCAAGCACCGCCUACUGGGCCUCUGGUCUUUACCUGUUCUGUUCCCUCUGCCUGGAGUUUUUUUAAGUAGAAAAAUGCGAGAAUGUGGAGUGGGAAUGUAAAAUGGUGUGGCUGCUGCAGAAAACACUUUGGUGGUUCCUGAAAAAGUUUAGGCAUACACUUAGCAUGGGACUCAGCAUUUACCCCUUAAGCACACGCCCCAUGGAAACAAAACCUGUUCCCUCGGAAACGCGCACACAGACGCUCGUAGCUACGUCCUUCGUAACAGCUGGAAGGCGGAUGUUGGGAACAGGCCCCCCAAAAUCUGGCCAUAAACUGGCCCCAAAACUGGCCAUAAACAAAAUCUCUGCAGCACUGUAACAUGCUCAUGAUGGUCAUGACGCCCACGCUGGAAGGUUGUGGGUUUACCGGAAUGAGGGCAAGGAACGCCUGGCCCAUUCAGGGCGGAAAACCGCUUAAAGACAUUCUUAAUCCACAAACAAUAGCGUGAGCGAUCUGUGCCUUAAGGGCAUGCUCCUCCUGCAGGUAACCAGCCAAACCCAUCCCUUUAUUUCCAGCCCAUCCCUUUAUUUCCCAUAAAGAAUGCCUUUAAAUCUAUAAUCUAUAAAAACAAUGCUUAUCACUGGCUUGCUGUCAAUAAAUAUGUGGGUAAAUCUCUGUUCAAGGCUCUCAGCUCUGAAGGCUGUCAGCCCCGAUUUCCCACUCCACACCUCUGUAUUUCUGUGUGUGUGUGUGUCUUUAAUUCCUCUAGCGCCGCUGGGUUAGGGUCUCCCUGACCGAGCUGGUCUCGGCAGGCGGAGACGACCGGGUGUCCACCACAGGUGAAGGGAUUAACAAAUGGUGCCCGGUCCCUGGGGUGGGAUAUUAUGCAUCUGUGAACAGAAGUGAGACACUGAUACACUGAGGGGACUCAGGGGCCACCACUGGGAUGAGGCUUGGAAAUGUGGCUUCCACCGAAAGAAGUGAGACACAAACGUUCGCACACCGCGUGAUUCCUUUUAUAUGAAAUAUCCAAAACGGACAAAUCCAUAGAGACAGAAAGCAGAUCUGUGGUUUCCAGAGGAUGGGGAAGGAAUGAGGAGUGAUUACUUAAUGGGGAUGAGCUGUUGUUCUGGAGGGAUGAAAUGUUCUGAAACUGGAGAAGCAGAGGUUGCACAACGUCGUGAAUCCAGCAAAUGCCGCCGAAGUAUAUGCUUCAAGAUGGCUGUUAAGUGAAUUUCACUCCAUAAAAGGUGUGUUUUAGAGGGUUAUGCCCAUGAGCGAGCCUACCUAUACAUGUGCAGUGUCACAUUACUGAGACGAUUCUGUUUAGAGCAAAGCCACCUACCUCCCACGUCCCUUUCCAGCCUGUCUUCUUAGCCACCUGCCUCCCACAUCCUUCUCCAGCUUUGUCUCCUUGCAUGCAGCCCUCUCAGGGCUUUUGAGGCCUGGAGGCCAAGGGUGCUGGGAGGUCCCACUUUGUACCCUCUCCCGAGAGCUUUGAGGGGUACCUGCCGCCUCUAGCUGUGCCUUCUCUGUGCCCUUCAACUCUGGAGUGAGGUCAGAUCUUGGCUCUGGGGCCACCACCAGCUGUUUCAGGCUUGCAAAGUUCUGUCCGACAAAAUACAGCUCCGCUUCCCUGUGGGGGGAAGCAUUGGCCCCAACAGGCCUUCUUCACCAACGGGGACAGCAGUCCCUUGAGUGGAGCCCUGGACUCAGGGAGCUCUGGUCAGUGAAACUCUCAGCUAGGGGCUAAGGGUAUGGGGACCUUCAUAUGUGGGACAGGCUCCUCGCUGGGGACGCUGCCACCAGGCCUGUGAGGCAGCCAGCCAAGUUCCACUUGCUGCAGCUGGGGCUGCUCUGGACGGCCAAUCCAGACACCUCCCCCCUCUCCACCCUCUUUCCAUCCUCAGGUUUGCAUUUCUUAGGUCUGGCACUUCAACUGCAAAGUACAAGUCCUGGGCUAUCUCCUCCUGCUCUGCUGAAGGCCACAUCGAUGCUUGGAAGGUAGGGUCAGCCCAGUCCCUUGCUCCACACACCCAACUACACUGAUGGAGCGACCGUCUACACAGGGAUCCUACGGUGGGGAGUGAGCCUUGCUGGCCUGAUGCAUGGCAGUGGUUCCUGCUCCAAUAAGACCAAGAAUAAUUAAUAACUGUGACUAAGUUAGAAGCUUUGGCUGCAUCUGAAUUCACCAGCGUUUCCAGCUCCUGAGGCCAUGUGCGGUGUCACCUCACUCCUGGCAGACAGACUCCCACUCGGAGGAUGAUUUUUCAUAGCCAGGGUCGCUCUGUGGACCUUGGAUGGACCAACGUGCUUUCCAUGUCCAACUUUGUCAAGAUCCGGGGAAGAUUCUCCAGCAAGUCUCUUGGAAACAUGUGCAUGUGGCCCCAGGCGACGUGAGGGGUGCAGUCUGCCUGCGUUAUGCAAUGCUCAGGCCAGUUUUCCCUGAGAGAGGAAUGCUGCCGAUCCUCUGCGGUAACCCACAAAACUCCACGGAGAUGCUUGGAAGGAAAAGCAUCGCGUCCUCCAGAUGUUUUGAAAUGUUCAAGUAUUUAAAAGGGAAAUGGAAUUUCUGUUUAUCCUUUUAAGUGACAAUUAUUCAUUGCGUCUUCCUGGCCACAGCUCAUUCAGCACUACUGCAGAUCCGGCCAGACCCCCAGGAGCCGCGGCCCCUGCACAGCCAAGGCCAAGAAGCUCCCAUCGUGGAGGGGGGCGCAUUCCGGACCUGUGAGGCCCGGGGUUCGUUUUUAUGCCUCCUUAAAGGGAUGAGCCAGAGAAGAAAGUCUUCGCAAAGCCUUUGCCCCAGGAGGGGCGGGGCUGCGCAGGGCGCCUGUGGAGGCCGUGGCCGGGCAGGUGGGGAGGCUCACACACAGGCCAGAGGCUUCCCUGGAAACUGACGCCCUAGGGCAGGUCCAGCUCCUGGAUGGUCGCAGGUGAAGAAACGCCAGGCCCAAGGGUCCUGGGAGAGAGAGGGGAACAGCGCCCAGGAAGAGGUGCAGGUUCCCAGGGACUGCAAGGGCCGCCGCCACCCUCCCACACCCCACCCUCGCUGCAUCACCAGUCAGCCCAGGGCAGGCUGCUGACCCUCCCUUGGCCUCAGUUUCCUCAUCUGUAAAAUGGAAAAAGAAGCAUGUCCACCUCACCAGUGGUCACAGUCACAGGUGCUGACAUGGAGAAGGAUUGAUGCGUCCUCCUGAGUGCUGCCUUGUCAUGCUAUAAACCAGGAGGCCUGGCUCUCUGCCUCCCGGGAAGGUCUGUUUCUAAUCCUGUGCUGGGUCUGCGUGGCUCCAUGGCCUCAGAGGCUGACACCGAGUGUGGUGUCCCUGGGUCACCGUGCUCCUUGGUUUGGUCCAGCAGGAGAAAGGGCAGCCUGCCAAGGAGAAGGCUGUGAGCUUGGCAGGGGAGAACUUAGGCGCUGUGCCUUUGGGAGGCUGGGAUUUAGAUCACAGCUGGGAAGCUAAGUCCUGACUGCACUGGCCGGAACCAAUGGGCUCCAGUAGCCGGAUGCUCUGCCAAGUCAGGAGGUAAUAACCGCCACGGCCUGGGAGAGAAGCUGGCACAGCCGUGGGCCCCUGCCCUGCGGUCUGGCCUCGCAGGUCCCCAGGCCGUGUACAGACACUGUGCGGCAGGGAAGCAGAGGCAGCCAUGGGGAGCAACCCUGUUUCUCAGUGCUACAUGCCUACUCUCCCUGAGCUGAUGUCUGGAAGACAGUAAAGGAGACCUGAGGCAGUGCUGCCCCUCCUUCCGUCUGCCACCUCCUCAGGGCUGGCCCAGGCCCUGCAGAGCAGGUGGUGGUGGCUGCUGGUGGUAAAGCCCGUCCAUCCAGAGCCUCGCUCUGCUCCCAAACCACCCACCUCCCGCUGCACAUGUGGCAGCUUCAGGAGCCUGGCGGGGCUAAGAGGAGAUGACAGACCCCAGCAAGGACAGGCUCAGCUUCUUGGGGACCGAGUCAUUGCCUGUUGCUUCUCCUGGGGGCCUCGACUGUCCGAGUGUGUUCAGGCACACGGUGCCCUGUCUGUUUCCCAGGCACUUGGGCCAAGGCUGGACAGGGAGGUGCCAUGUGGGACGAAAGCCCAGGCUGUGCAGUGCUGGUCACCGGGAGUGACCAUGGGUGAAGUCGCGCUGUGAGUGACUGCCUGUUAUCACUGACCACGCAGGGCCAUCCUGGGUGACCCGCUGUGCCACAAGCAACUGGUUCACAUUGGAGCCCCCCUCUGGAGCCCUGGGCAACCCGCUGCCAGUGGGCCUUUCUCCUGAGGCCCCUGGAGUCCCGGAGCAUCCCGUGAGUUCAUCUGCCAUACCUGUGAUUGCCAUGUGGGCCCAGCGCCCUCCAAUGGAAAAGCUGCAUUCAGUUCUGCCCGAGGAUCCCAGGCCUACGACACUGUCCUCAGGCUGCCAGGGAGCAGGAGGCUGUGGGGAUCUGCGUUCUUGCCAGGCCUGGGAGCAGCAGCCAAAAAGUGGACUUACGUGGACAAAAUGUUGGGCCAGGGAGGAGCCCUCGGCUCUGGACGGAUGUCUCUGGUGCUUUUAUGCCACGUGCAUUUCUGCAGAUUUGAUGCCCGGCAGCCAGCACUGGGCUGUGGCCAUGGUGGUGAGGCAGCCUUGGGUCUGCACGAGGCUCGGAGGCCUCCAGGAACCUCCCAGGAAUGUGACUGUGCCUGGAGAGAAGCGCCAUCUGCACGGCGCAGUCCAGAUGCUUCUCUCCUACAAGCCCAUCAUCAAACACACAGCUGCCCAGACUUCAGCAGGAUUUGUGCACAAGAAACGCAAAGGCACAGUCCAUCGGGUGAGGCAGAGGUGGAAGGAGCACCGGGGUGGGAGUGGAGGAGCACCGAGGUGGGGGCGCAGGAGCACCGAGGCGGGGGCGCAGGAGCACCGAGGCGGGGGCGCAGGAGCACCGAGGCGGGGGCGCGGGAGCACUGAGGCUGAGCUGUCUCUAGUGAUCUCUCAAGCCUCAGUGCAGUGGCCACAGGGCAAGGUGCCUCCUGGUGUGUCCUCGCCUCCAAAUCAGGCUGCUCCACUUCCCAGGUCAGAGUCCUGGGGGGUUGUGUUGACCCUGAGCCCCCACGAGCAUCCAAUCCAGCAGAGCUGGAAGGACCCAAGAACCUGCAUUCCUCAUGGCUCCCAUCAUGCUUCCGGUCCAGGAGCCACCAUCCAGACCACACUCCCAUUCAUCCCCUGGCCACGGAAGCUGAAGCCUUGGUUUCCCCACCUGUAAAGUGGGAGUAUCAACAUCACCCACAUCAAAGGGCCUGGAUUAGAUGCGGUGAUGCCCGUGGACUUUAGCAGCCCCGGUCCUCCAGGGGCCCUCCCAGGGAGCUGAGGCCCGGGUGGUCCUGGCGGCCGCUCCUUCUCCAGGCCGAAGACAGGAAGGUCUCUUGGGCUGACCUCAGGCAAGAGGCGGGGUGGGUCACGGCCUCCAGGGCCAGGCUGGGGCCUCCACAGAAAGCCCGUGGGUGGCGAGAGGGAGCCGGCUGGGGUGACUGAGGGUCGCUGGGUAGAUGAGGGAGGGACCCGGGGUUCUUGUGUUCACGUGUGUAUUUGCCCCGUGUUUCUGCUGACAUGCCACGUGUGCAACAAACAGGCUUGGCGAGCCAUCCCCACCACCCAGGCCGAGACGCCAGACGUGACUGGCACCCCAGGGUUCCCUCCCGGCCCCCAGAGGUAACCCCAAUGCUGGUUUACCACAGAUGACUCAUUCUGCCUGUUUUAGGGUUUUGAGUAAAUGAAACCCAACAGCGUGCAGUCUUUUUGCCUGGCUUCCCUUUAACCACGUCUGAGAGGCUCACUUUGCGGUUGCUUCUGUGGCUCCUGGACAGUUUCCCUUGUGCGGACACAACUCAGUGAGAGCACCCCUUCUUCCAUUUGUAGACUUUCCAAAUAGUCCAGGCGAGAGAGGCUCAGGUCUUGAGUUCAGGGAGGGGCAAUGCACAAGCAGACGCCAAGUGGAAGGGAGUACACCCCUCCCUUGGCGGGGAGGCCCUCGGGCUGGUGGGGAUGAGCGCCCCUCAGACGGCACCUGCGGGUGACAGGGUGUGACAUUCUGCUGUUUCUCGGAAGUAACUCGCAAGCAGCAUGGGGGUUCCUAGUGUGUUUCACAGACUCUCACCAAAUGUUAGGGUUCACUCCUUGUCCUACAGCUUAAAUACACCAAAAGUGAGAAAAUUACGAGAUAACAUUUCCCUCAGAGACCCAUAUUCUGUGUUAAAGAAUUCUUCCUUCUACCUAAAUCCAUCUCUUUACGGUCAGAUGUCAUUGGUUGUGGUAUUUUGUCCAUUUUCAGCUUUGUUUAGAUUUUUUUGACAUGCAAUUAAAUGCCCAUAUUUAAGACGUACGGUUUGAUAAGUUUUGACAUUCUGCUGCACCCACAGAGCCAUGACCACAAUCGAGACCAUGGACAUCCCCUCCCCCAGGCUGGCCCCUGCCCCGUCCCUCCACCCUCCUGCUCCUCUGAUGACACUGACCUUUCUGUCACUGUAGAUUAAUUCAUUUCUGUCCUGGGUAACACAGCGUGUAUACUCUUAUUGCCUGACAUUGUCUCACAGUGUAAUUAUUUUGAGAUUCAUCCAACAAUUCAUCCUUUCAAUGCUGGGGAGCACUAGUUGCAUGGGUGUAUCAUAAUUGGUUCAUCCACUGACCCGUGGAGGACGUUCAGGUUGUUUUGGAUUUUGGUGAUUACAGGCAAGGUUGUUGUGAACGUUUACGACACAGUCUUUCUGUGGACGUUCCCAGAACAGACAUGUCUGGGUCACAUGGUGACUCUGUGUAGCUUUUUAAGAAAUGGCCGAACCGUUCCCUGUGGUUCUUGUGUUAUGAUCCUGCCAACAUGCUGCGCGCUCCAGUUGCCCCACAUCCUCGCCAGCCCUUGGCAGGGCCACUUUUGAACAUGUUAGCCAUGCUGGUGGGUUUGUAGGCACCUCUCAUACUGGUCUUCGUUUGCACUUCCCUAAGGACUAAAUGGUUGUCAGCAUCGUCUUGCGUGCUUCUGUCUGUUAAUAUAGCUUCUUUGGUGAAAUAUCCAUUCAAAUAUUUUGCCUACUUUUUAAUUGAAUUGUUUUGUCUCAUUAUUGUGUUGAAAGGCUUCUUGACAUGUUUUAGAAAGAAGUCCUUUUUGAACAUGGUUUGCAAAUAAUUUCUCCAGCUUGGCAGCUUGCCUCUUUAUAGUGUCUCUUAAAGGGCAAAAGUUUUAAAUUAAUAAAAUUUAGCUUAUUGGUUUUUUCAUGUAGUUUGAACUUUUUGUGUUCUAUUUAAAAAACCUUUCCCAAACUAAAAGUCACCAUGAUUUUAUCUUAUCUUCUUCUUACAAGUUUUACUGUUUUAGUUCACACAUUUAGAUUUAUGACCUAUUACAAUUUUUUUUUUUGAGAUGGAGUCUCGCUCUGUCAGCCACACUGGAGUGCAGUGGCGUGGUCUUGGCUCUCUGUAACCUCCACUUCCCAGGUUCAAUCAAUUUUCAUGCCUCAGUCUCCUGAGUAGCUGGGAUUACAAGCACAUGCCACCAUGCCCAGAAAAUUUUUGUAUUUUUAGUAGAAACAGAGUUUCACCAUGUUGCCCAGGCUGGUCUUGAACUCCUGACCUCAAAUGAUCCACCUGCCUCAGCUUCCCAAAGUGCUGGGAUUACAGGUGUGAGCCACUGCAUCCAGCCCAAAGUUAAUUGUUGUAUGUGGUGUGAGGUAAGGGUUUUGAGGAUUUGUAAUUGUUUUAUUUUGUUGCUUAUGGGUGUCCAAAUGACCCAGCAUUCCUUGUGGAAAAGGUUAUUCUCUCCCUGUUGAAUUGCCUCAGCACAUUUAUCAAAAGUCAAUUGGCCAUAAAUGAGUAGUGGCCAUAGAUGAGUAGGCCUGGGUGUUGUUCUGUCUCAUUGACCUAUUUAUCUGUUAUAAUGAUUAUAUUGACUGUCUUGAUUAAAAUCAAGUAAUAUAAAUUCUUCAACUCUGUUCUUUUUUAUGCUUGCUUUGGUUACUCCAAGUCCUGUGCAUUUCUGUAUAAACCUUAGAAUUAGCUUACCAAUUUCUACAAAAAUCCUGCUGGGAUUCUGAUUGGGAUUGUGUUGAUUCUGGAGAUCAAUCUGGGGAGAGUUGGCAUCUUCCAUGAACAUGCUAUGGCUCCAUUUAUUUAGGCCUUUUUUCAUUCCUCUCAUUGAUGUUUCUCAGUUCUCAGUAUAUAGGACUUGUAAAUCUUUUGUCAAGUUUAUUUCUAAGUCCUCAGUAAUUUUAGCUUUGCAUUUUGAGCUAAUUAUAGCUUCACAAAAAGUUGCCGAAUAGUACAGAGGGGUCCCACAUUCCAUUCCUCAGCUUCCUACAAUGCAGCACUUUGCAGAGCUACAACAAAUUCUUAAAACCAGGAAACUGAUAUGGGCACCACGCAAGUCACUGGAUGACGGAGCUCAUUUGGACAUCCUAGGUUUCCGUGUGUUUGUUUUAUUCUGGGUACGACUCCGUGUGGAGAUUCUGCGAUGUGUGGCCGCAUAUGUGGAUUUCUGUAACCACAACCACAUUCGAGAUGCAUGACCGUCCAUCCCCACAGGUGUGAGGUGUGCCCCGCGGGGCCCUUCUCUAACCCACAGCACCCGCCGGCGUCACUCAUCCUUUCAAGAGUGUUAUGGGAACGGAGUGCGGAAUGCAGCCUUUGAGAUGGAGUUUUCUCCCAGAGUCUGUUUCUCUCCGUUGCUGAGCACGUUGUGUGGUGUGGAGGCACCACGAUGCGUCGGACACGCACCUGCUGACAGACAAUGGGGCUGUUCCCAGGUUUUCGCUGUUCCAAAUAAAGCUGCUAUGAUCGUUUGUG
rnacentral:lncRNA from 1 species